rnacentral:rRNA from 1 species
UACGAAGGGGGCUAGCGUUGUUCGGAAUUACUGGGCGUAAAGCGCGCGUAGGCGGCUUUGCAAGUCGGGUGUGAAAUCCCCAGGCUCAACCUGGGAACUGCAUUCGAGACUGCAUUGCUAGAGUAUGGGAGAGGGAAGUGGAAUUUCCGGUGUAGCGGUGAAAUGCGUAGAUAUCGGAAGGAACAUCAGUGGCGAAAGCGACUUCCUGGACCAAUACUGACGCUCAUGUGCGAAAGCGUGGGGAGCAAACAGG